CGCAAGGAAGGACAUGGCUGUCCUUGGGUACUAACGACACCCCGCCCCCAGUUCUCAAGGUUAGAGUUAUAACCUCAGGGUGUUGGAAGACAUCCA
rfam:Culex flavivirus RNA, complete genome, strain: Toyama71